rnacentral:rRNA from 1 species
UACAGAGGGUGCGAGCGUUGUCCGGAAUCACUGGGCGUAAAGGGCGCGUAGGCGGCCCGGCAAGUCAAUGGUGAAAGCUCAGGGCUCAACUCUGAGUCGGCCACUGAUACUGCGGGGCUCGAGUCUGGUAGAGGCAGAUGGAAUUCCGGGUGUAGCGGUGGAAUGCGUAGAUAUCGGAAGGAACACCAGUGGCGAAAGCGGCUUCCUGGUCCAGCACCGACGUUCAGGCACGAAAGCGUGGGGAGCAAACUGG